rnacentral:lncRNA from 1 species
UAUUAAACAUUUACCCGUUGAAACAUACGCGAGCCAUGAGGGCACCCUCUACUGCAAACCCCAUUUUAAGUCCCUCUUCGCCCCCAAGGCCGUUGAAGAUGACAC